AAAUGCGAUAAGUAAUGUGAAUUGCAGAAUUCAGUGAAUCAUCGAAUCUUUGAACGCACCUUGCGCUCCUUGGUAUUCCUUGGAGCAUGCCUGUUUGAGUAUCAUGAAAUCUUCAAAGUAAAUCUUUUGUUAACUCAAUUGGUUUCUACUUUGGUAUUGGAGGUCUUUGCAGCUUCACACCUGCUCCUCUUUGUUCAUUAGCUGGAUCUCAGUGUUAUGCUUGGUUCCACUCGGCGUGAUAAGUUAUCUAUCGCUGAGGACACUGUAAAAGGUGGCAAAGGUAAAUGCAGAUGAACCGCUGCUAAUAGUCCAUUGACUUGGACAAUACUUUUAUGAUCUGAUCUCAAAUCAGGUAGGACUACCCGCUGAACUUAAGC
rnacentral:misc_RNA from 1 species